ensembl:lncRNA
GGGCUUCUAUGGGGCUCUAUGGGGCUCUAUGGGGCUCUAUGGGGCGGCUAUGGGGCUCUAUGGGUCUCUAUGGGCCUCUAUGGGGCGGCUAUGGGGCUCUAUGGGGCUCUCUUGGGCUCUAUGGGGCGGCUAUGGGCGGGUAUGGGGCUCUAUGGGGCUCUAUGGGGAUCUAUGGGGCUCUAUGGGGCGCUAUGGGGCUCUAUGGAGCUCUAUGGGGCUCUAUGGGGCUCUAUGGGGCGGCUACGGGGCUCUAUGGGGCUCUAUGUGGCUCUAUGGGGCUCUAUGGGGCUCUAAGGGGCUCUAAUGGGGUUCUAUG